UACGUAGGUGGCGAGCGUUGUCCGGAUUUACUGGGCGUAAAGCGCGCGCAGGCGGCAGUCUAAGUCCUCUGUGAAAUCACCCGGCUCAACUGGGUGGCUGCGGAGGAGACUGGGCAGCUUGAGGGGCCUAGAGGCCGGUGGAACUCCCGGUGUAGUGGUGAAAUGCGUAGAGAUCGGAAGGAACGCCCGUGGCGAAAGCGAGCUCCUGGACGUUUUCUGACACUGAGACGCGAAAGCCAGGGGAGCGAACGGG
rnacentral:rRNA from 1 species